rnacentral:rRNA from 1 species
CACCGCGGUUAUACGGGGGGCCCAAGAUGAUAAACAUCGGCGUAAAGAGUGGUUACGGAUUACCCCUACACUAAAGUCGAACACCCCUCCCGCUGUUAUACGCGUCCGGGGGAAGGAAGCCCUACUACGAAAGUGACUUUAAUACCCCCUCCCGAACCCACUACAGCUAAGGAA